ACAGUACUGAAAUUCUAACUGGCGGCCAUGAAUCUGGUCACAGGACAUUGUUAGGUGGGCAGUUUGACUGGGGCGGUCGCCUCCUAAAAAGUAACGGAGGCGCCCAAAGGUUCCCUCAGAACGGUCGGAAAUCGUUCGAAGAGUGCAAAGGCAGAAGGGAGCCUGACUGCGACACCCACAAGUGGAGCAGGGACGAAAGUCGGGCUUAGUGAUCCGGUGGUACCUCGUGGGAGGGCCAUCGCUCAACGGAUAAAAGCUACCUCGGGGAUAACAGGCUGAUCUCCCCCAAGAGUCCACAUCG
rnacentral:rRNA from 1 species